rnacentral:misc_RNA from 1 species
AAGUCGUAACAAGGUUUCCGUAGGUGAACCUUCGGAAGGAUCAUUACCGAAAUGCAGUAGGUGGGGGUACGCCUUAGCCUGCAUACAUGCAUUACACCCUUUGACUUUGAGCACCGUACGUUUCCUCGGCAGGUUCGCCUGCCAGUGGGGACCCUACAAACUCUUUGCAGUUAGCAGUAUUUGUCUGAAAACAAACCAUAAUAAUCACAACUUUCAACAAUGGAUCUCUUGGUUCUG